GUUUUACCCGUUUUUUCUUCUCCUCCAAUUUUCUUCUCCUGCGUCUCUAAUUAGGUUUUUUAUUUACAGACCCAACCCUUCUCAUACUUCAGCCGCCGACGUGAAGAAAAUCCUCCCACCCACCGUAUUCGAUCUUAUUUUUUCAACUAUCAAAGCAUCCCCCCACCGUAUUCGAUCCUCAACCAUCUACACCAGAAGAAACCUAAACGACAUCGCCCCUAUUUGUCUUCUAUCUUGAAGAUUCAGAUUGAUAAAAACAAAAUUGAAGAUUCGGAUUGUAUUUUUUCGUGAUGAUGAGGAAUCGAAGAUCUGGAAUAAACCCUAAUCUUAAGAUUCAGAUUGUAUUUGUUCGUGACGAUGAUGAACUAAGGAUGAUUUCAAACUAUUUGAUUGAACCCUUUUCCUCUCCUCACUGACUUUCGGUUUUUAAAGGAUGGUAACGUAUCGCCUCGCCGUUGUACAAGUUGUUUUGUAGCUAAUGAGCCCAUGUUUGUGAUCCAAGCUUACAACACCUUUAAAUAGACCGAGACCAUGGUCCAUAUCCGGCUCAUUCGUUCUCAAAGAGCUUCAAGGGAGUUUUGGGUUUGUACUCUAUGAUGUCAAGUCUAAAACUGUGUUCGUAUCACUUGGUGCAGAUAGGGAAGUGAAGCUCUUCCGGGGCAUAGCAGAUCAUGGCCCUAUGGCAAAAGACCAAGGCUGAGGAUGAGAUUCGACUUUUUGUUUUUUUUUUCUCUUCUAAAGUAAGCUACUGCAUCUUCUUAGAGUCAAAAGUGUAAACCGGCAUCUAGGUUGCCCCAUAAAGAUAACGCAACUGUCAAGAAGCUAAAGCCCAGUUUCGCAAUGAUUUCUAACCAGGGCAGUAUGUUAAUUCUACAAGAGACGUGUAUUGAUUCAGCGGGGUCCUUGGUGGUGUAUGAGUUGGUGGAUAACCUAGCAAGGCAUGUGGUGAUGAAUGGGGGGUGAUUCGGCUUAUGUGGCUCUUUUGCCGUCAGGGUUUGAGAUAGUCAGGGUUUGAGAUAGUCCUUGACGACCUGGUAAUCGUGUUGUGUCGGAUACAGAGAAUGGUGGGGCGGGUGGAUCUCUUUUGAUUGUUGCAUUUUGAAGUUUGAUAUAUUUUGUAUUCUUUAUGCUUUUAGGAAUAUAUUUUGUAUACUUUAUGCUUUUAGGAAUGUGUCUACUGUGAAUUUUGAUUGCAAGCUUGACCUUAAGGCGAUUGGCCUGCAAGCUUGUAACGCAGAAUAUAGCCCCAAGGUACAAGUUUUCUGACAAUAUGUAAGCAAUCUUCCUUUAUAAAUUGUAACGUUGUUUCUUAAUCAUGGAAAUCUUGGUUGUUGAUGAUC
rnacentral:lncRNA from 1 species